rnacentral:tRNA from 1 species
GAGGGCAUAGCUCAAGUGGUAUAGCGCAUGCUCAGCAUGCAUGAGGUCCUGGGUUCAGUUCCCUGUACCUCCG